GAUGAACGCUGACCGAAUGCUUAACACAUGCAAGUCCACUUGAACUUCGGUUUGGGUGGCGGACGGGUGAGUAACGCGUACAGAACUUGCCUCACAGCUAGGGACAACAUUUGGAAACGAAUGCUAAUACCUGAUAUUAUGAUUAUAUGGCAUCGUAUAAUUAUGAAAGCUAUAUGCGCUGUGAGAGAGCUUUGCGUCCCAUUAGCUAGUUGGAGAGGUAACAGCUCACCAAGGCGAUGAUGGGUAGCCGGCCUGAGAGGGUGAUCGGCCACAAGGGGACUGAGACACGGCCCUUACUCCUACGGGAGGCAGCAGUGGGGAAUAUUGGACAAUGGACCGAGAGUCUGAUCCAGCAAUUCUGUGUGCACGAUGAAGUUUUUCGGAAUGUAAAGUGCUUUCAGUUGGGAAGAAAAAAAUGACGGUACCAACAGAAGAAGUGACGGCUAAAUACGUG
rnacentral:rRNA from 1 species